CACCCUUUGCUCACGGAAAACCUAUUUGGUUCAAUGUCUUUAACGAUCAGUUUGCAAAGGGACAUUAGAAAAGAAAAGCAACUUCAGCGUGAGCCCCCUGGGAAAGGAAUCAUCUGUCACUCUCAAAAUCUCUGAAGAUUUCUGGGAGAUAGAACAGGGCCAUAGGAGCAAAGUACAGGCAGGUGCUCACAUUUACACAUUUAACGGCCCUGGACCGGCCUAGACUUGGGGUGACAAUGGAGCCAGGGAGUUUAUGCACAGGGACAAAAGCUCUCCAGGAGAAGUUGCUUUGUGAAGCAGCUGAAGGAAGAAACAGCAGCAGAAGCCUAAGUUAGAGGAAAGAAAGAAAAUAAGUUUCAUCUCCACAGUCUCCUCCGGUCUUUUUAAGGAAGGAAGAUGGAGACCACCGAAGGCGCCUCCCCGAAUGGGAGAAAGGUACUCUGCUGAGCGGACCGAGCACAGUGGGAUCGCGCAAGAUCAGCUUUUGGAGGAGCUCAGAGGCCGGCGAGGGUCUCCGGAUAUCAGGCCGUGCUCUCUCUCCAAAGGCUCUGCCAGUCGCCCAGUUAAACUGAUCUCAGAUUGGGCCGCGGCGGGUCCCCUGAGACCGGCCUUUGUUUGAACUCACCCUGGGAUGGGGCUGCUAAGCCUGAGUUGGUGACUCGGAGGUGGGAGCAAGGGUUGGGUGGGCAGACCGGGUCCAGCUUAAGAGCAGACGCUAACUAGCCUUAAUUUAAGGCCAGGCAAGACUAGCCUGUGCUACGUGGUUCCGCCCCCGUGCCUCCAUCACCCUCUGUCCCACUACCCUCUACCCCUACCGGUCCCCCCUUACACUCCCCCCUUCCAGUUCUAUCUCCUUAUAGGAGGAAACCGAGGCCCUGGGUGGCAGCAGAAACGGCAGUGUAGGUUCCCUGGCCAACGUGGACAAGCAUUAUUCUCUGCAUCCCAGGAAUUCACGAGAGACCCGCUUCAGCUUGUUCGGGACAGGGACCCGGAUUUCAGUCCUGCCCCAGAGAUGAUGACUUCCCAGAAGAGCUGAGCUGAUAUUAAGAAACUGCCUCUCUUGUUCUUGCAAGACAAUGGGUCCGGCAACUCACCACCGCUUGCUUGCUGGAGGCAGGAGACCCGGGAGUCUCGAAACCAUGUCUGGAGGACUUGGGGAGUCUACAAUCGUAUGCCUCUGCUCUACAGAAACAGGCAGCAUAGAGGACAGGAUGCAAAGGUCAAGAGUUCAAGCAGAAGGAGACUGAUGUCGUUUGCCCCAACACUGCUGCCUUAUUGCAAGGCCACUGAAGCCCCCUCAGGACACCCCCACGUUCCAUGAUAAUCAACAGAGGAAAAUUCGGGUGGAGGAGUGCCAGGGGCCCUGACCAGAGGAACAGUAAGCAGCUUUGGAACUGCCGGAAUACAGGCUAGCUAGCAGUCAGCACAAACACAUUGGGUGGCCUUGAGAGGCAGAGGCCCAAGGGACCUCACGCAGCUCUGCUUAGUGCCCUCAAGGUCACCGUGUCCCUCACAAUGCCCUCGCUGGGCAGCCUUACUGGUCCUUACCAUAAUAGUGAUUGACUUUUUCCAACCAUUGCUGCUGGAGCAGAUACAGCCACCACCCUUAGAAAGAAUUCAGAUGGAGAUCAUUAGUAAAUAGGUUAAGAUAUUUUAUUAAUGGCUUUGAAGUAGAAAAUCUUGAGAAGCAAUUUAAAGUUUAGAAAGGCACUUUUGAUAGUUUAAUGAAGGACUUGUUGAGGUCAGGGGACCAGAAGAAAGGCAGCCUGGUGAUUACAUGCUGACGUGCCUUUCUUGCUAGGUUAGGGAUCAAAGGCGAUUAAUUCCUUCUACCUAUCUUCCCCUCAGCUUCUUGAUUUUAUUUAAUAAAAUGUGGUUGGGUGGGUAUAUACCUUGAGGACAAAGUAGAAAUGGCUGGCUGUUAUAUGUGUGUGUGUGUGUGUGUGUGUGUGUGUGUGUGUGAUUCUUCUAAGAAUUUUAUAAGAUUACUUUUUGAGAUAAGUAAAAUGAUUGAGCCUUUCUUUGUAACCACAAAAUGCAGCCUGCCAGUAAAGGAACUGGCUGAGAAAAAUGCCUUGCUUGCUUACACUCUGUUAAUCUACAAGUUGCUUAGAUGCAAAUGUGAGCCCUUGGGAAUAAUUUGUUUUUCACCUGUAAUAUGUAAAAUAUUUAAUCAUGGAAAGGAAAUGAGAAACAUGCUGUUAUUACUUGUAUUCACUGUAAUCUUUCACUUAAAAAAUAGAAUGUAACCACAUUGUAAUGUUACAUUGCUUGAAACAUUUUGCUGGGGUAUACAAACUGUAAGGAAAAAAAUAAAGUCAGGAGGAAAACACCAGGAAAAAUGUAGAAGGAACGAUGUAAGGGAAACAGCAGAAGGAGGUAAAAGAAAAAUAAAGAGACCCUGGUGCAAGGUGUGUGGGUGUGUGUGUGUGUUUCCUUCUUUCUUUGCCGGCCCCAGAGAAUUAGGUUUUUCUCCCUCCGAGGAAGAAGUCUGUUGUGUGAUAAGCUGCUGACUGUGAACCUCCUCUUCAGCUGCUGAGCUGCGGAAAGCUGGACUUUCAGCAAGAUCUACCUACAGAGCCCUGGCUAUCCUAGAACUCACAUGAGAUUGCAUGUGUCUGCCUCCCAAGUGUGGGGGUUAAAGGCUGUGGAACUGGGCCAGUUCUCUUUGUUUUGUUUUGUUUGUUUGAAGCAGGGUCACACACUGCUCAGGCUGGCUAGAAUGACCUUGACCUGAUGACUUUGCCCCAGCCUUGCCAGGGCCAGGAUUGCAGGUAUAGGAGACUCUACCCAGCACAGUUUUUAAAAGUCAAAAAUAAUCUUGAGCUAUAGAAAAACCAUUUUGACCAAGUCAAAUAAAUGUAAGUAUGGAAUUAAAUAAAAAUAAAUAUAAGCAAAACAAAACUUGUAUUAUUUUUCAGUCAAAGGUUUGCAUUAAGGUGUGAUCUGAAAUAAUUCAUGUCACCAUUCUGACCCUGUUUAUCUGCAAAGUGACAGCCGGGACCAAGAGCCUUGCCGUGGAAGAAUUUGUAGGACCUGACUCCUGACUGGGCAGCUAGGUGCUUGGGAACAACGGUUUGUUUCUGAGGAGAAAAGAUCGCAGAGAAGAAAAAAACAAAGUUUAUCUUAUUUGCCUUGGUGUUUUGUCCAUGUGUCUGUCUGUGUGGUAGUACUGGAUCUCCUGGAAUCAGAGUUAUACUCAGUUGACAGUGGCCAUGCGGGUGCUGGGAAUUGAACCCGAAUCCUCUAGAAGAGCAGCCAGUGAUUUUAUUUUGUUAUUAUUUAUUUAUUUACUUGUUUGUUUGUUUGUUUAUUUUUUGCAGCCAGUGAUUUUUAACCACUGAGCCAUCUCUCCAGUUUGAGUAAGGGAUUUAAACUUGCAAAUUUGUAUUUGGUGUGCUGAUUUCCAAUUACAAAAACAUAUCUUAAUGCUAGUUUUUCAAGUAUACGUUUGAGAAUGGAGGUUUGUAGGAUUAAAAACAUGCUGUUUUUCUAUUUCUAGCCAUCCAGGGUGUAUAUUCCAGUAAUCCCAGCACACGGCAGGCUGAGGCAGGAGAAUAAAGAGUUUUGAAGCCAACUUGGCCUACGUAGAAAGACUGUAAAAAUAAACACAAAAACUUAACUGGGCGGUGGUGGUGCACAACUUUAAUCCCAGCACUCAGGAGGCAGAGGCAGGAAUUUCUCUAAAUUGGAGGCCACCCUGUUCUACAGAGUGAGUUCGAAGGCAGCCAGGAGUGUUACACAGAGAGAAAACAAAUCAAAACAAUAGUUCCAGGACAGGCUCCAAAGCCACAGAGGAACCCUGUCUCGAAAAAAACCAAAAAAAAAAAUAAUAAUAAUAAUAACAAUAAAUAACUAUAAACACAAAGACACGAGCUAUGUGUACUGCCCAGUGAUAGAUAUUUGACUAGCAUCCACAAGAGACCCCAGGUUUAAUCCCCAGCACCCCAAAACUCAAGCCCACAUGUGGGAAUCAUUUGUCUGAAUCUUUCUAAACUACAUUAAGAUGAAAUGUGGCUGAGGCUCUGCCCUAGGACUCAGGGCCCACUCUUCAGCGAAGUCUCAGACCGUGCGUGGGGAGCCACUCUAGUGUAAGGAUGGGAGUUGAAGGGGCGUGCUGCAUUGUCGUGGCACAACCUGAACUGCCUUUGAACCUCUGCACCUCUCCAAACACUUGCUUGGCUCUGCCAGGACCUUGACCUGUACCUGGAAUCCAUGCGGGCUGAGAAUCAGAGGCCAUGGUCCUAGCCAGACCGAGCCUUCUUGGCUCGCACAGGGCUCCUCCCCUCCUGCUCUUUCUCGUCAUGGCAUCGAAGGCCGAUCCUGCACAGCAGGACUGUCCUGCUCCUGGGCCACUGACUGAGUCACCAAGUCUCCUUCUCCAGCAGCCUUUAUCUUCAGAGACCUUGAAAAUCCCAGUCAGCUGUAGCCUGGGUCCUGGUGUUGACGUGGCUCGAACUUGCUGUGUUUACAAGGCUCUUUCAUGAGUCUUUUGCUUCUUCCGAUGCCUGCUGCAGCUCACAUGACAGCUCUUAUUUCUGAGGACAUGGACGUCAGACAGAGGAGGCCACGUUC